GAUGAACGCUGGCGGCGUGCUUAACACAUGCAAGUCGAACGGAAAGGCCCAAGCUUGCUUGGGUACUCGAGUGGCGAACGGGUGAGUAACACGUGGGUGAUCUGCCCUGCACUUCGGGAUAAGCCUGGGAAACUGGGUCUAAUACCGGAUAGGACCACAUUUUGGAUGGUGUGGUGGAAAGUUUUUCGGUGUGGGAUGAGCUCGCGGCCUAUCAGCUUGUUGGUGGGGUAAUGGCCUACCAAGGCGUCGACGGGUAGCCGGCCUGAGAGGGUGUACGGCCACAUUGGGACUGGGAUACGGCCCAUACUCCUACGGGAGGCAGCAGUGGGGAAUAUUGCACAAUGGGCGCAAGCCUGAUGCAGCGACGCCGCGUGGGGGAUGACGGCCUUCGGGUUGUAAACUCCUUUCGCUAGGGACGAAGCGUUUUUGUGACGGUACCUGGAGAAGAAGCACCGGCUAACUACGUG
rnacentral:rRNA from 1 species